rnacentral:lncRNA from 1 species
AGGCUACUACUGACCUCCAGACAUUAUCAGAAGGAUCAGGUCAUCUGCUCCAAGUGAUCCUGGACCACCGAGCCAUGAUGGUGUUGAUGGCUGGAUGUCAGUAGUGGACUUUGUUGAUGACUAACAGGUACCUACAAAGUCCCCUGAACAAAGCAGCAGAAAUCGACUAAGAUGGGGCCUGGCGUGUGCUCCCGCUGCUCUGGAAGUCCAAACUGGAUGGAAGAAUAGCGCUGGUUCCCUGGAAGGCUGCUAAGCCCCCUGCACCCCCUCCUCCAGCACAGGCUCGGCUGCCUCUGGCUAUCCCACCGCCAAUCUCCUCACCUCCAAUCUGUCCCCUCCACCUGUUCUCACACCCCAGCCAGAGGGACCUUUCUGAAAUACCUAUGUGACCUCUCCGGCCCUCCUCUGCUCUCCAUCCCCCUCAGGCAAAGGCUGGCUUCUCUGCCCAGCCUUUCAGAAUCUUCCGGCCCGGCCCUGACAGCUCCCUCACAACUGAGGGAGGAAGGCGGCUGCCCCUCCAGCUCCCCAGGGCCCAAGCCAGGCCCUCACACUCGUCACUCACUGCAUGCUCCUCUCCCCAUGAGGCCUCCCCAGGGAACACAAUGGAAAGAAAUGACCUAUUUUCUGGAAGUCCAAAAUAAGAUGAAACAUCUGUCUGGAAUGGGGCCAGGCUGAUAAAGAACGGGCUGAUCUCCCCAGCCCGAGCCCCGCUCUCCUGCAGCAAACACCCCCUCACCCGUCAGAGUGCCUGUGCUUGGGGGUGGGGGCAGCGAUGCGGCUGGCUACUUGGAACAGUGCGUGGGAAAGCGCUCAGUGUGUGCCUCACGGCUGCUGGGGGCCCAAGGGAGGGGGCCUGGGUCCCCAGGAAGGCUGGGAAGCAGCCUGAGAAGGAGGUCAGUGAGGGAGGGAGGCCUGCUGCACACCCCUGCCCACCGGCUGCAGAGCAAGCACUUCCUGCCUCCUGCGGUGCCUUGAGGGUUACCCCCAGGGCCCUGUGGAUUCCUGGCCCUGAGUCCCCCCACCCACCCCGGCCCCAUCUGGGCCUCCAACAGCCUUAAAAAUAACAAUAAUAAUAAUAGCUACCUCUGAUUUAGUACAGUUGACCCUUGAACUACACAGGUUUGAACUGUGCAGGUCCACUAACACGUGAAUGUUCCACACAUGUGAAACAUCCACCUCCUUCCCACCCUUCCACUCCUCCACCUCUUCCGCCUCUGCCACCCCUGAAAGCAAGGCCAACCCUUCCUCUUCCUCCUCCUUCCCAGUCUACUUAACGUGCAGACAAGGGUGAAGACUUUUUCAGUGAUCUACUUCCACUUAAUAUAAACUGAAUGUAUUUUCUCUUCCUUGUGAUUUUCUUUCAUCUAGCUUACUUUAUUGUAAGAACAUAGUAUAUAAUAUACAUAACAGACAAAAUAUGUGUUAAUUGACUUUACAUUAUCAGUAAGGCCCACAGUAGGCUGGCUAUUAGCAGUUAAGUUUUUGGGGAGUCAAAAGCUAUACAUGAAUUUUCAACUUUGCAGUUGGUGGCUGUCCCCAGCCCCCUCAUUGUUCAAGGGUCUGCUGUACUUAUCACCCACUAUCUAUGCUAAGCUCCUUAUAUGAAUGAUCUCACCAAGUCCUCAGAACAAUCCCAUGACAUCAGUACUGCUUCCUCAUUUUACAGAUGUGGAAACUGAGGCACAGACUGUUUACAUUGUUUGCCCAAAAGCUUGCCAGUGGUGUCUCCAGUGUUUAAUACUGGGCAGACAGGCUCCAGAGCACACAGCCCAAUGCCCAUGAGACAGCCCCUCUGUGGCAGGAGGCAAAGAUAAGGAGCCCCGCAAAAAGGACAGCCCAGUACCUGGCACAGAACAAGCUCAAAUAAAAAAAAAUAAAAGUUAAUUAGCCAGGCGUGGUGGAGGGAGCCUGUAAUCCCAGCUUCUCGGGAGGCUGAGUCAGGAGAAUUGCUUGAACCCGAGAUCGCGCCACUGCACUCCAGCCUGGGCAACAAGAGUGAAACUCCGUCUCAAAAAAAUAAAUUAAAAAAUAAAGUCGUC